GCCCAAGAGAUCGGGAUAACACCUGGAAACAGAUGCUAAUACCGGAUAACAACAGAUGAUGCCUAUCAACUGUUUAAAAGAUGGUUCUGCUAUCACUCUUGGAUGGACCUGCGGUGCAUUAGCUAGUUGGUAGGGUAACGGCCUACCAAGGCGAUGAUGCAUAGCCGAGUUGAGAGACUGAUCGGCCACAUUGGGACUGAGACACGGCCCAAACUCCCUACGGGAGGCAGCAGCA
rnacentral:rRNA from 1 species